rnacentral:rRNA from 1 species
GACGAACGCUGGCGGCGUGCUUAACACAUGCAAGUCGAACGGAAAGGCCCUGCUUUUGUGGGGUGCUCGAGUGGCGAACGGGUGAGUAACACGUGAGUAACCUGCCCUUGACUUUGGGAUAACUUCAGGAAACUGGGGCUAAUACCGGAUAGGAGCUCCUGCUGCAUGGUGGUGGUUGGAAAGUUUCGGCGGUUGGGGAUGGACUCGCGGCUUAUCAGCUUGUUGGUGGGGUAGUGGCUUACCAAGGCUUUGACGGGUAGCCGGCCUGAGAGGGUGACCGGCCACAUUGGGACUGAGAUACGGCCCAGACUCCUACGGGAGGCAGCAGUGGGGAAUAUUGCACAAUGGGCGGCAGCCUGAUGCAGCAACGCCGCGUGCGGGAUGACGGCCUUCGGGUUGUAAACCGCUUUCGCCUGUGACGAAGCGUGAGUGACGGUAAUGGGUAAAGAAGCACCGGCUAACUACGUG